CAACAUCCACUUCAUGUAGAAGUAUUACACUCAGAGAUUAUGGCUCAUCAGAAAUUUGCUUUGCGUCUUGGUUCCUGGAUGAACAAAAUUAUGAGCUAUUCAAGUGACUUUAGGCAGAUCUUUUGCCAAGCAUGCCUUAGAGAAGAACCUGACUCGGAGAAUCCCUGUCUCAUAAGCAGGUUAAUGCUUUGGGAUGCAAAGCUUUAUAAAGUAUUAUAAACAACUGCAGAAAGAAUAUAUCAGUGAUGAUCAUGACAGAAGUAUCUCUAUAACUGCACUUUCAGUUCAGAUGUUUACUGUUCCUACUCUGGUAUAUCCUGAUCAGCAAACCCACAAUAUGGACAGAAAGAUUAAGAAUGCAGUUCCUUGAAGGUUUUCGAUCUUUUUUGAAGAUUCUUACCUGUAUGCAGGGAAUGGAAGAAAUCCGAAGACAGGUUGGGCAACACAUUGAAGUGGAUCCUGAUUGGGAGGCUGCCAUUGCUAUACAGAUGCAAUUGAAGAAUAUUUUACUCAUGUUCCAAGAGUGGUGUGCUUGUGAUGAAGAACUCUUACUUGUGGCUUAUAAAGAAUGUCACAAAGCUGUGAUGAGGUGCAGUACCAGUUUCAUAUCUAGUAGCAAGACAGUAGUACAAUCGUGUGGACAUAGUUUGGAAACAAAGUCCUACAGAGUAUCUGAGGAUCUUGUAAGCAUACAUCUGCCACUCUCUAGGACCCUUGCUGG
rnacentral:lncRNA from 1 species